AUGGACAAUGAAAUAAACUCAUUGGACCCGGGGGCGGUACCCGGCGCCUCCACCCAAGUAUAAUAAAAAUUAUAUUUUGGUGGGGGCGAAAUAGGAUCGACAAGAGCGUAAAGAUUGCUCUUUUACUCGGCAUUGUACCACCGUUAUCGGGCUAAAUGAGUAGUUGCAAAUGACAACUAUGCGGAAGUACGUCUCGCUGCUUAAUGGAGUGUGAAUGCUUCAAAUUAAGCC
rnacentral:tmRNA from 1 species